rnacentral:rRNA from 1 species
CGAACGUUGGCGGCGUGGAUUAGGCAUGCAAGUCGAACGAGAAAGCACCCUUCGGGGUGUUAGUAAAGUGGCGAACGGGUGAGUAACGCGUGGGAAACCUGCUCUAGAGUGGGGGAUAACAGUUCUAACGGACUGCUAAUACCGCAUAAUGCCACAGGUCACAUGUCCUGUGGUUAAAGGAGGCCUCUUCUUGAAAGCUUCCGCUUAAGAAUGGUCCCGCGUCCUAUUAGCUUGUUGGUAGGGUAACGGCCUACCAAGGCAACAAUGGGUAGCCGGCUUGAGAGAGUGGUCGGCCACACUGGGACUGAGAUACGGCCCAGACUCCUACGGGAGGCAGCAGUCGAGAGGCUUCGGCAAUGGGGGAAACCCUGACCGAGCGACGUCGCGUGGGUGAUGAAGAUCCUUGGAUCGUAAAACCCUGUCAGGUGGGAAGAAACACCAUUCGGUUAAUACCCGAGUGGCUUGACGGUACCACCAGAGGAAGCUCCGGCUAACUCC